UCCUCGGAUAGGAUAAUCCUUCCCUGUUCCUAUAUUCAGGGAGCAGAUAGAACAUGAUGGUUGGAGUUAGCAUGAUUCGUGAUUAAUGUCUCUGCAUGGCUAGUGUUCACAAUACCCUAAUAGCUCCUACCUGGU